AGCGAACGCUGGCGGCAGGCCUAACACAUGCGAGUCGAACGGCAGCACAGGAGAGCUUGCUCUCUGGGUGGCGAGUGGCGGACGGGUGAGGAAUACAUCGGAAUCUACCUUUUCGUGGGGGAUAACGUAGGGAAACUUACGCUAAUACCGCAUACGACCUACGGGUGAAAGUGGGGGACCGCAAGGCCUCACGCGAUUAGAUGAGCCGAUGUCUGAUUAGCACGUUGGCGGGGUAAUGGCCCACCAAGGCGACGAUCGGUAGCUCGUCUGAUAGGAUGAUCGGCCAAACUGGACCUGAGACACGGUCCAGACUCCUACGGGGGGCAGAAGUGGGGAAUAUUGGACAAUGGGCGCAAGCCUGAUCCAGCCAUACCGCGUGGGUGAAGAAGGCCUUCGGGUUGUAAAGCCCGUUUGUUGGGAAAGAAAUCCUAUCGGUUAAUAACCGGUGGGGAUGACGGUACCCAAAGAAUAAGCACCGGCUAACUUCGUGCCAGCCGCCGCGGUAACAC
rnacentral:rRNA from 1 species